CCUACGGGAGGCAGCAGUGGGGAAUAUUGCACAAUGGAGGAAACUCUGAUGCAGCAACGCCGCGUGGAGGAUGACGCAUUUCGGUGUGUAAACUCCUUUUAAGAGGGAAGAUUAUGACGGUACCUCUUGAAUAAGCACCGGCUAACUCCGUGCCAGCAGCCGCGGUAAUACGGAGGGUGCAAGCGUUACUCGGAAUCACUGGGCGUAAAGGGUGCGUAGGCUGACUUUUAAGUCAGGCGUGAAAUCCAAUGGCUUAACCAUUGAACUGCGCUUGAAACUGGGAGUCUAGAGUUCAGAAGGGGCAGAUGGAAUUAGUGGUGUAGGGGUAAAAUCCGUAGAUAUCACUAGGAAUAUCAAAAGCGAAGGCGAUCUGCUGGGAUGAUACUGACGCUGAGGCACGAAAGCGUGGGGAGCAAACAGGCUUAGAUACCCUAGUAGUC
rnacentral:rRNA from 1 species